rnacentral:lncRNA from 1 species
AGAGUCUGCUAGAGGUGAGGAGUGUGCAGGUCAGCAUUUCCUUACACUCAGUACAUGAGCUCUCUCCCUUUUCAGUUCUAGGGUUCUCUUGGCCCCAGCCCCACAGUUCCUGGUUGGUGCCCCUCCCACAGUGCCGUUAUUUAAAAUAGUGCUUACCCUUGGAGGUAAUGUUAACUGGAACAAGAUGCAGGACUGAGUGCUUCUCUAAGGAAAGAAAGAGGAAACAGCAGUGUUGACCUGCCCUGGAGUCCACCCUCACCUCAGCUCUGCUCCGCAUCCCUCGUGCUCCUGGGUCACCGCCAACCGCACCGAAACCCCAGGGCUCACUCACUCUUGUGCUUCUGGCUUAGGCUGCCUCAGACUUUCAAUGCAGUUGAAGAUGAACUUGAAUUCCUCAUGCUGCCUUCCAAGUGCUGAGAUUAUGGCAUGUCCAACCUGCAGCCAUCAGAGGGCCCCAUGCAUCUCAGGGUGCUAUGGACAUGGCCCAAUGUAUCUGCAGAGGACAUCAUGUCACAGUAUCAGAAGAUCAGGUACCCCACAUGUAUAGAGCGCUUUUCCACCCCCACCUCACUGAAACUCUUUAACAACCCUUCAGCCUCAUCAGACUCUUGGGAAAGCCUGGCCUUGCAUGGUUCCUGAGCCUGCCUCUACCACACAAUUAAGCUUUGAGGCCUACUAAGGCCUAAAUGCUACUACCAGGGGCAAGGAGUCCUUGACUCCACUGUAAAAUCAUCUUCCUGUGUGGUGCCAUGUAUCUUGGGCUACCUUACCAUCAUUCUUGUCAUCUACCACUGUAAUUACACAUUUACAGACUGCC